AAUAAUUUUAAUUAAUAAUAGAAUAAAUUUCAAUACAAAUUAAAAAAAAUAUAUAUAAUAUGAAAAAAUAAUUAUAUAUAUAAUAUUUAAUAUAAAAAAUAAAUAAAUAUUAAUAUAUAAAUAAUAAAACUUAAUAAAAUGAAUAAUAUAUUAAAUUUAAUUAAUUUAUAUUAUAUAAUAAGAUUUAAGUAUAAAUAUAUUAUCACAAAAAUACUAUUUAUCUUAUUUUAUUUAUUUAUUUAUUUAUUUAUCUAUAAAAUGAAAAGAAAAACAAAGUUGUUCUAAGUUCCCCUAGGAACAAUUUUUAACGGGUUGUUCCAGAACAACCCAAAACAACUCGUUUUGACU
rnacentral:lncRNA from 1 species